rnacentral:rRNA from 1 species
UACGGAGGGGGCUAGCGUUGUUCGGAAUUACUGGGCGUAAAGCGCGCGUAGGCGGAUCUGCAAGUCGGGGGUGAAAUCCCGAGGCUCAACCUCGGAACUGCCUUCGAUACUGCGGGUCUCGAGUCCGGGAGAGGUGAGUGGAAUUCCUAGUGUAGAGGUGAAAUUCGUAGAUAUUAGGAAGAACACCAGUGGCGAAGGCGGCUCACUGGCCCGGUACUGACGCUGAGGCGCGAAAGCGUGGGGAGCAACCAGG